AUUCUGGCUGGUGCCUUGGUCCUUGAAACACAUUUGUGCUCAGGUACCAUUUAACAUAAGAGGCAGAUUCUAACUCUCACAUGGCUCUUCAUCCCUCCCUCCUCCUCCUACUCCUCAUCUUCGACAGAAUCUCAGCAGCGAGGCAUGUGUCUGUGCAGACUGGAGGCUCCAUCACCUUCCCAUGUAGCUAUGAUCUGAAUCACAUCAACCAUGUGAAAUACUGGUGUCAAAGCUUAGGUUGGGAUGUAUGUUCUUAUGUAGUACGUACUGACCAUCCUAAGAGCAGUGGUAAGACCUCAAUCUCUGAUGACAUCAACAAGAGAAUCUUCACCGUGAUCAUGACUGACCUGGUGUCAAGGGACUCUAAUACUUACAGGUGUGUUGUGGAGAUCAAUGGAGGAACAGAUUUCAUGAUACAAAGGUUCUACCUGUCUGUCACUCCAGGUACUCCAGAACUCUAUGUGGAACAACAGGAAGUGUCUGGAGUAGAAGGAGGGAGUGUCACUGUCUGUUGUUACUAUAGUAACUCUGGAGACAUGAAGUGGUGCAGGAUGGGUGGUGAUUGUGUGAGUGGGUUUUCUGGGACUUUAAAUGGAACAUCAGUGACAUUAACGCGGACUAGUGAUGCCAACAACAGAACAGUCUUUACAGUGACUAUGAGUGGACUGAAGAUGGAGAACACUGACUGGUAUUGGUGUAGAGUUGGAGAACUAGAGAUGCCUGUUCAUAUCACUGUCAGUCAACAAACUGCAACACAGAGAACCUCUAAGAUGACCUCAACAACCCAAGAUCCAACCCCUCAACAACCCUCUGCCUCUCCAACUGCUGAGCCUGUUCAGACUGACAACACAAGUCAAGGAGAUGAGGGGAACAUGGAGGAAGUCCACCAGAGGUCCAUAGAUGUGAAAGUCCUACUCAUCUCUCUGGGCAUGUUGGUGGUGGUGACAGCUGGUAUCCUAGUAACAUGGAAGAUGUGGAGAAGGCAUAAGGACAAUAAGGCCAAGGACCAGACAACAAACAACUCAGUGAGCCCAAACCCAGGGAGCCACCAUGACGUGAUGUACAGCACUGUGAUGCCUGAUCAGUUCAGGACAGAAGAGAAGGUCAACUUAUGGCUACAAGCAUCUCGGCUCUUAGACAACAUUAUUGCUGUUACUCAUGAAGCGUCAUAGCCUUGGCAAAUAUGCAUCUGUUUAGAAAACAAUUGUAUUUCCAGUAUCACUUUCUGUCUUGGAACAAGCAAUAGGUAAAUGUACACUAUAUAACAGUAUAACAACACAUUUUUGUUAUUUGGGUGUCUCCCUACCAACAGGAUCCAUUUCCUGAAGCUGAUGAUGAUGUCACAUACAGCACUGUCAUCCUCCAGCACAAGACCCAACUAAAAGGACAGACCAAGAGGGCAGCAGCAGCACAGUAGUGACUGACUGAGAAGACCUUCCUUUUACUGGAAGGACAGAACACUCCCCUCUCCUGUGUCACAACAUCUAUCUGCCUCCAAUAUGAUUCUGUCAUACCUCUUAACCCAUCCCAGGAAGACACCUCUAUCCUUUAGUGUAAUAAACUACUGAAGGCAG